UGAGCCGCGAAUAGCUCAUUACAACAGCCGUUGUUUCUUGGAUCUCUUCUCUACUUGGAUAACUGUGGUAAUUCUAGAGCUAAUACAUGCAACUAAUCCCCGAUCGCAAGUGACGGGAGCACUUAUUAGACCAAAGCCAUCCGGCUUCGGCCGUACUUUGGUGACUCUGGAUAACAUCGCAGAUCGCAUGGGCUCGUCCCGGCGACAAAUCUUUCAAGUGUCUGCCUUAUCAACUUUCGAUGGUAGUUUCUGUGACUACCAUGGUUGUGACGGGUAACGGAGGAUCAGGGUCUGACUCCGGAGAGGGAGCCUGAGAAACGGCUACCACUUCUAAGGAAGGCAGCAGGCGCGCAAAUUACCCAUUCUCAGAACGAGGAGGUAGUGAAGAAAAAUACCAAGAGGAGGCUCAUUGAGUUUCCUCAUUGGAAUGAGUACAAUCUAAAUCUUUUAACGAGGAUCUAGUGGAGGGCAAGUCUGGUGCCAGCAGCCGCGGUAAUUCCAGCUCCGCAAGUGUAUUCCUAUACUGUUGCGGUUAAAAAGCUCGUAGUUGGAUCUGAGUGCUUAGCGCCUGGUGCAGUUCUGCUGUUACUGGGUGCGGCACAUGAUUAGUCAAUUGGUUGCUGUUGUUGCCUUCACGGGUGAUGGCAGUGGACUGUUGACAAGUUUACUUUGAACAAAUCAGAGUGCUCAAUACAGGCGUUUCGCUUGAAUGGUUGUGCAUGGAAUAAUAGAAUAGGACCUUGGUUCUAUUUUGUUGGUUUUCGGAACAGAGGUAAUGAUUAAGAGGGACAGACGGGGGCAUUCGUAUUCCAGCGUGAGAGGUGAAAUUCUUGGAUCGUUGGAGGACGAACUACUGCGAAAGCAUUUGCCAAGAAUGUUUUCAUUAAUCAAGAACGAAAGUAAUGGGUUCGAC
rnacentral:rRNA from 1 species